rnacentral:misc_RNA from 1 species
UAAAACCCGACCGGGAGCGGGAGAAGGAGCGGGAGCGGGAGCAGCGGGAGAAGGAGCGGGAGAAGGAGCUGGAGCGCGACGGGAGAAGGAACGGGAGCGCGAGCUGGAGCGGCAGCGGGAGCAGCGGGCGAGGGAGAAGGAGCUGCUGGCUGCCAAGGCCUUAGAGCCCACCACCUUCCUGCCUGUGGCCGAGCUGCACGGACUCCGAGGUCACAGCACGGAGGAGCGGCCCAAGCCCUCGGAGCAGCUGACCCCA